UUCAUGGCUGUAGUCACCAUCUGCAGUGAUUUAUUGUCGCUUCUCCCCAGAUGGAUUUAUAGUUGAAUGUUAUCUAAAUCAAAAUCACAGUUGGCUUUGUUACAAAUAGAAAUUGACAUGACCAGGUAAAGGCCUGCGCGUGGCUCCCGCUGCCUCCCGUCUCUCCCCCGGCCCCUCAGGCUAAUUCGCCAAAGUGACCACCACAAAGGGAAAGAGAAGGGGCGCACCUGCUAGGUGUUCUCUAGGCCUUUUAGAAAACAUGGAGUUGUUCCUUUGGCCACAUACAUGCGAAUCUACAAAAAGGGUGAUAUUGUAGAUAUCAAGAGAAUGGGUACUGUUCAAAAAGGAAUGCCCCACAAAUGUUACCAUGGCAACACUGGGAGAGUCUGCAGUGUUACCCAGCAUGCUGUUGGCAUCAUUGUAAACAAACAAGUUAAGGGCAAGAUUCUUGCCAAGAGAAUUAAUGUGCAUAUCGAGCAUAUUAAGCACUCUAAGAGCCGAGAUAGCUUCCUAAAACGUGUGAAGGAAAAUGAUCAGAAAAAGAAGGAAGCCAAAGAGAAAGGGACUUGGGUUCAGCUGAAGCGCCAGCCUGCUCCACCUAGAGAAGCACAUUUUGUUUUCAUUCCUUUUCUGAUCAUUUCCCU